rnacentral:tRNA from 1 species
GCCGUUAGUUGAGCAACUUGGUGGCUCCUCUGUCUUGAAAACAGGUGGUCUGAAAUAUGGCAUGGAGGUUCGAAUCCUUCCUACGGCG